GACGAACGCUGGCGGCGUGCUUAACACAUGCAAGUCGAGCGGUAAGGCCCUUUCGGGGGUACGACGAGCGGCGAACGGGUGAGUAACACGUGGGUGACCUGCCCUCAGCUCUGGGAUAAGCCCUGGGAAACCGGGUCUAAUACUGGAUAUGACUCCAUGACGCAUGUUGUGGGGUGGAAAGCCUUGUGCGGCUGAGGAUGGGCCCGCGGCCUAUCAGCUUGUUGGUGGGGUGAGGGCCUACCAAGGCGACGACGGGUAGCCGGCCUGAGAGGGCGACCGGCCACACUGGGACUGAGACACGGCCCAGACUCCUACGGGAGGCAGCAGUGGGGAAUCUUGCGCAAUGGGACGAAAGCCUGACGCAGCGACGCCGCGUGAGGAUGACGGCCU
rnacentral:rRNA from 1 species